rnacentral:rRNA from 1 species
UGAACGCUAGCGACAGGCUAACACAUGCAAGUCGAGGGGCGAGACAUAAAAGUAAGCAAUACUUGGUGGCGACCGGCGCACGGUGAGUAACGCGUAUGCAACCUACCUAUCAGAGGGGAGUAACCCGGCGAAAGUCGGACUAAUACCGCAUAAAACAGGGACACCGCAUGGUGAUAUUUGUUAAAGAAAUUCGCUGAUAGAUGGGCAUGCGUUCCAUUAGGUAGUUGGUGAGGUAACGGCUCACCAAGCCGACGAUGGAUAGGGGAACUGAGAGGUUGGUCCCCCACACUGGUACUGAGACACGGACCAGACUCCUACGGGAGGCAGCAGUGAGGAAUAUUGGUCAAUGGGCGAGAGCCUGAACCAGCCAAGUCGCGUGAAAGGAAGAAGGAUCUAUGGUUCGUAAACUUCUUUUGCAGGGGAAUAAAGUGCAGGACGUGUCCUGUUUUGUAUGUACCCUGAGAAUAAGGAUCGGCUAACUCCGUGCCAGCCGCAGC